AUACUUUACCUGGUGGGGAGAUAACAUAAUCACAAAGGUGGCUUUCCCAGGAUGAGGCUUGUCCAUUGCACUCUGGAUGUGUUGAUCCCUACAAUUUCCCCAACUGUCUGAAACAUGGCUGCAUAAUUUGUGUAAGUGGGAAAUUGGGUUCACAUUUUCCCU
rfam:Erinaceus europaeus unplaced genomic scaffold scaffold00376, whole genome shotgun sequence